UCUAUUUUCCUUUGCUUAUUUUCAUUUUCCAGUUUCUUUCACAAACUCGUAUUUUUUCCAUCUCCAUGAUUUCUCCUUUUCUUUUCGUGCAAAUUCUGUUCGUUCAAUUUUUUUCUAUUUUCCAUUGCUUAUUUUCUUCUUUCAGUUUCUUUCACAAACUCUAAUAUUUUUUCCAUCUCCAUGAUUUCCUCUUUUUCUUUUCGUUCAAAUUCUGUUCGUUCAAUUUUUUUCUAUUCUCCUUUGCUUAUUUUCUUUUUCCAGUUUCCUUCACAAACUCGUAUUUUUUCCAUCUCCAUGAUUUCCUCUUUUUCUUUUCGUUCAAAUUCUGUUCGUUCAAUUUUUUUCUAUUUUCCUUUGCUUAUUUUCUUCUUUCAGUUUCUUUCACAAACUCUAUAUUUUUUCCAUCUCCAUGAUUUCUCCUUUUCUUUUCGUCCAAUUUCUGUUGCUUCGAUUUUUCUCCCAUUUUCUCUUGCCUUUCAAUUUUUUCACCGAAUUUGACUUUAUUCUAUUAUUUUCCUCCCCCUUAUCUUCUUUUUUUCUUCCCAAACUCUACUCCUUUAUCAUCCUUUCUUCUUCUUUUCUGCCCUUCCUUCAUCCAUCAAUUGUUAUUAUAUUAGAGAUGAAGAAAAAUAUUAUUAGUCUCUUUACUACUGUCAUCAUCAGCCUUCUUGCACAUACUGAGCAGAAAAGGAAAGCAGAACAUAAAAGAGAAUCGCGCAGAGCAGGAAUUAUAAAGGAAUGAACAGAAUGAAUAGAGAAAAAGAAUAUGGAAAAAGAAGAAAAGUGUAAAUAAGAGAAAAGAUUAAAAAGGAAUGAACAGAAUGAAUAGAGAAAAAGAAUAUGGAAAAAUAAAAAAAGAACGUACAUAAGAGAAAAGAUUAAAAAGGAAUGAACAGAAUGAAUAGAGAAAAGGAAUAUGGAAAAAAGAAAAUAAUGUAAAUAAGAAAAAAAUUAAAAAGGAAUAUAAAAAUAGAAAAAAAUAUGAGAAACAAUAAGCAAGAAAUAGAGAAAUAUAAAUCCUAAACAGAAGAGGAAACGACAGAAACGAAGAAAAGAACAGCGAGAGCUUGAAAAAAAAAGAAAAAAUAAUGAAAACAACAGAAAAAAAUAAAGAUGUGUAAUCAAGAAAUGAAAUGAAAAACAGCAAAAAAAAAGAAAAACAAAAUGUAAUAACUGAGAUAAAAAAAAAAACAGCGCAUAGCAUGAAUGAAGAAAAAAUGGAGAACAGGAAAACAGGGGAAAAGAAAACAAUAUAAAGAUAAAUUAAAAAAACAAAGAUGAAUAAGAUUAGACAGAAUAGAGAAACAAGAGGAAAGAGUAAAAAUAGAGGAAAGAACCACAAACAACAUAAAAAAAAGAAAACAAUGAAAAGGAAGAGAUGGAAAAGGGAAAUGAAAAAAAAGAAAAAAAAGCGGAAGAAAAUGAUAAGACGAUGAACUUGUAAAUAAAAGAACGGGAAUAAAAGAGAAAAUAACAGGAAUAGCGAAAAAAGAACACUGAGAAAAAAUAAAGAAGAGAAAAGGCAGAGAACAAGAAAGAAAAUAAAAACAAGAUAUCAUUUAAAAGGAUGAAUAAAAAAGAAUGAUAGAGAAUAUAAAUAAAACAGGGAAAUAACAGAGAAAAUUGAAGAAAUGCAAGAAUGAAAAGAGCGUAAAAUGGAUAAAGAAUAAAGAGAAAUGAGAAACGAAUAUAUGUGAGAAAAAUAAAUGAGAUAAAUAAAUGAAAACAAAGAAAUUAAAGAAAAGUUAGAAAAAGAGAAAACAGACACAGUAAUUAGGUUGAUAAGGAAAGGGAACAGAGGAAGAAAAUAAAGGAAAGAAUAAGGAAAACAGCGUGAAUGAUGAAAGACAACAGAUAAGAAAAAAAAACAGGAAAAUAUAUAACAAACAUUAGCAAAAUAUAACACAGAAUAAAAUAAUGGAAAUAAAGAAUGAAGAAGUAGAAGACAAAAUAGAAAUAUCAAGGUGGUAGAAAAAUAAAAGAAAAGUAGGAUGCAAGUAGAGAAGAAAUGUAAAAUAGAAAAGGAAGUUGAAGAAAAAUAGGGAAAAAAAAGAAGAGAAAAAAAAGGAUUGAAGUAGAAAAGAAAUACAGAAUAGAAAAAGAGGUUGAAGAAAAAUAGGAUAAAAAAGAAAAGAGAAAAAGAAAAAAAAGGAUUGAAGUAGAAAAGAAAUACAAAAUAGAAAAAGAGGUUGAAGAAAAAUAGGCAAAAAAAAAAAGAGAAAAAAUAUAAAAAAAUACGAAACCAAAAAAAUUAAAGCAAAUGAAAAAAAUAAAACAAAGCAGGAAAGAAAUAAAACAAAAAAAUCAAAGUUGAAGAAAAUAAGUAAAAAAAAGAAAAGAUACGAAACAGAAAAUUCAAGGAUGACUAAAAUAAAAUAGAAUAAGUAGAAAAAUAUACAAAAAAAAAUCAAGGAGGAAUAAAACCGGAUAUUUUUUAAUCAAUACGAUCUUUUAAAACUUAUGAAGAUCCACUUUUUUUUCCGGGUAUUUCUUUCACCCCAUCGGUCGGUGCAAUGCGUCCAUCAACCUUAAUUACCGAGACAAAAAAAGGCUUGCAAAACAGCUGAGUGGUUAGGAAGCGGGACUAAUAUUAGGCUUACAUUCUCAAACACCGGAGCACACACACACACACACACACACACACACACACACACACACACACACACACACACCGUAAUUGAUUCCCCUUUCGGCCACCUCUUCGGAUUCUUUACAUGAGCAGCAAGUAGCGGGCUUUUUUUUAUUAUUAUUGUUUCCUUUUUUUUGUGCCCUUGUGCUGUCUCCUUUGCUGUAAACACACACACACACACACACACACACACACACACACACACACACACACACACACACAAACGGAGAAAAAAAAACAGGCAUGAAAAAAAGAAAAAAAACAAGAACAGAUAAAUAAAAACAGGGAAAAAAUAGAAUGUAAAAAGAUAAAAAAAGAUAAAAAAAUUAAAACGAAAGAUAAAUAGAAAAGAAAAACAGAAAAAAAAGAAACAGGCACAAACAGAAGAAAAAAACAAUAAAGAAUAAAGAAAUAAAGCAGAAUAGAUGGAAGAAAAGUUAUCAAGAAAUGCAAUCAAGAAACACACACACACACACACACACACACACACACACACACACACACACACACACACACACACACACACACACACACACACACACACAUUGGGUAAGGCUUUGGUGGAGGCUGUUGUGAGUAUUUCCAAGGAUGAGCAGUUUCUAGAUCGGCAAUGAUAAUAAGUAGGCCUAUAUUAUCAUACAUUUCGGAGCUCAUCACACACACUGGAUAAGGCUUUCGUAGAGGUUGUGUGAGUAUUUCUAAGGGUAGUUUUUUGUGUUGGUAAGGCUUCCGUAGAGGUUGUGUGAGUAUUUCUAAGGGUAGUUUUUUGUGUUGGUAAGGCUUUCGUAGAGGUUGUGUGAGUAUUUCCAAGGGUAGUUUUUUGUGUUGGUAAGGCUUUCGUAGAGGUUGUGUGAGUAUUUCCAUGGAUAGUUUCGUGUUGGUAAUUAGUAACGUUUCUUAGGCUCAUACCCUCAAACAUUGCGCGGCUUUCACAUUCCCAUCUGGUAAAACUAUCGUAGAGGAGGUAGAGUGUAUGUACUAUUUCCGUGGGUAGUUUUAUGAGCCUAGUAAUAGUCUGACAUGGCUUCUGCACCAGGCUUUGAAUAACUGCAAUCGUAAGUGAACUUGAAUGAGAUUAUAUACAGAAUUUUGAGUAAUUAUGAUCGAAAUUGUAUCUGAGCGUUUAAAUGAGAGUUAUUGUAAUAGAAAAUGAGCGUAUAAAUUCAACUUUAAGACCCUAAACUAUACUGACCACUAAGCGUAAAUUUAAUAGUUUAUAUUCCCUUUCUUUGAUUUGAGGAAGGAAGGUAUAGAAAGGAAUGAAUGAAUGAAUGAAUGAAGGAAGGAAGGAAGGAAGGAAGAAAGAAAGAAAGAAAGGUGGGAAAGGAAAGGAAAGUAUUAGACAGAAGAAAAUUCAUGUUAGCAAAUAAGAAAAGUAGAAAUGUAAAAGGAAAGAAGGAAAGAGGAACAGAAAGAAAGAUACAAAGGAAAAAAGAAAAAGAGAAAAGGAAGGGAGGAAAAAGAAGUAGACGAUAGAAAAAUGAAAACGAAAAUAGCAAAUCAGAAUAAAAGGAUAAAGAUGAUGAAAAGAAAAAAAACAGAAAGAACACGGAGAGAAAAGGAACAGACAGACAUAGACGGAACAUUAGAGAAAGUAGAUUAACAAUAUAGAAAAUGAUAACUGAGUAGAUGAUGAACAGGAGGAAUAGAGAAAGCACAAAUAAAGAAAACAAAGAUGGUGAAAAGAAAAAAAACAAAGAACACAGAGAGAAAAGGAACAGACAGACAUAGACGAAACAUUAGAAAAAGUAAAUAGA